GACGUAGGGUGCAAGCGUUGUCCGGAUUUACUGGGCGUAAAGAGCGCGUAGGCGGCUCGUUAAGUGUGAAGCUAAAUCUCUUGGCUCAACCAAGAAAUCAUUUCGCAUACUGGCGGGCUGGAGUGAUGCGGAGGUGGAUAGAAUUCCCGGUGUAGCGGUGAAAUGCGUUGAUAUCGGGAGGAAUACCCGUGGCGAAGGCGGUCCACUGGGCAUCAACUGACGCUGAGGCGCGAAAGCGUGGGUAG
rnacentral:rRNA from 1 species